rnacentral:rRNA from 1 species
GACGAACGCGGGCGGCGUGCCUAAUACAUGCAAGUCGAAAGCCAAGAAGUGAAGAGCUUGCUCUUAUACCAAAUGAGUGGCGGACGGGUGAGUAACACGUGGGUAACCUGCCCAUUAGAGGGGGAUAAACAUUCGGAAACGGGAUGCUAAUACCGCAUAGUUUCAGGGAUCGCAUGAUUCUUGAAGGAAAGGUGGCUCCGGCUACCACUAAUGGAUGGACCCGCGGCGUAUUAGCUAGUUGGUGAGGUAAUGGCUCACCAAGGCAAUGAUACGUAGCCGACCUGAGAGGGUGAUCGGCCACACUGGGACUGAGACACGGCCCAGACUCCUACGGGAGGCAGCAGUAGGGAAUCUUCCGCAAUGGACGAAAGUCUGACGGAGCAACGCCGCGUGAGUGAAGAAGGUUUUCGGAUCGUAAAACUCUGUUGUUAAAGAAGAACAAGGAUGAGAGUAACUGCUCAUCCCCUGACGGUAUUUAACCAGAAAGCCACGGCUAACUACGUGCCAGCAGCCGCGGUAAUACGUAGGUGGCAAGCGUUGUCCGGAUUUAUUGGGCGUAAAGCGAGCGCAGGCGGUUCUUUAAGUCUGAUGUGAAAGCCCCCGGCUCAACCGGGGAGGGUCAUUGGAAACUGGAGAACUUGAGUGCAGAAGAGGAGAGUGGAAUUCCACGUGUAGCGGUGAAAUGCGUAGAUAUGUGGAGGAACACCAGUGGCGAAGGCGACUCUCUGGUCUGUAACUGACGCUGAGGCUCGAAAGCGUGGGGAGCAAACAGG